ACUCAAAUGAAUAGACGGGGGCCCGCACAAGCGGAGGAGCAUGUGGUUUAAUUCGAUGAUACGCGAGGAACCUUACCUGGGCUUGAAAGUUAGUGAAUGACCCCGAAAAGGGUCAGUCCGCAAGGACACGAAACUAGGUGCUGCAUGGCUGUCGUCAGCUCGUGCCGUGAGGUGUUAGGUUAAGUCCUGCAACGAGCGCAACCCCUAUCAUUAGUUGCCAACAGGUUAAGCUGGGGACUCUAAUGAGACUGCCCGCGCAAGCGGUGAGGAAGGUGGGGAUGACGUCAAGUCAGCACGGCCCUUACGUCCAGGGCUACACACGUGCUACAAUGGCCGGUACAAUGGGUUGCUACCUAGCAAUAGGAUGCUAAUCUCUAAAACCGGUCUCAGUUCGGAUUGAAGUCUGCAACUCGACUUCAUGAAGCUGGAUUCGCUAGUAAUCGUACAUCAGCAAUGGUACGGUGAAUACGUUCCCGGGCCUUGUACACACCGCCCGU
rnacentral:rRNA from 1 species